rnacentral:rRNA from 1 species
GAUGAACGCUAGCUACAGGCUUAACACAUGCAAGUCGAGGGGAAACGGCAUUAAGUGCUUGCACUUUUUGUACGUCGACCGGCGCACGGGUGAGUAACGCGUAUCCAACCUUCCCAUGACUAAGGGAUAACCUGCCGAAAGGCAUACUAAUACCUUAUUGUCUUCACUGACGGCAUCAGAUGUGAAGGAAAGAUUUAUCGGUUAUGGAUGGGGAUGCGUCUGAUUAGCUUGUUGGCGGGGUAACGGCCCACCAAGGCAACGAUCAGUAGGGGUUCUGAGAGCAACGUCCCUGACAUUGGAACAGGGACAAGGUCCAAACGCCAACGAGAAGCAGCAGUGAGGCCUAAAGGGGAAAGGGCGAGAGCGUGAAACAGCGAGGGAGCGUGCAGGAUGUCGGGAUUAUGAGUUGUAAUCUGCUUUUGUAUGGGGAUAAAGACAAUCACGUGUGAUUCUUUGCAGGUACCAUACGAAUAAGGACCGGUGAAUUCCGU